rnacentral:rRNA from 1 species
UACGUAGGGUGCAAGCGUUAAUCGGAAUUACUGGGCGUAAAGCGUGCGCAGGCGGUUAUGUAAGACAGGUGUGAAAUCCCCGGGCUUAACCUGGGAACUGCAUUUGUGACUGCAUAGCUAGAGUACGGUAGAGGGGGAUGGAAUUCCGCGUGUAGCAGUGAAAUGCGUAGAUAUGUGGAGGAAUACCGAUGGCGAAGGCAGCCCCCUGGGAUAACACUGACGCUCAUGCACGAAAGCGUGGGGAGCAAACAGG